rnacentral:piRNA from 1 species
UACACAUGGUAUCUGCUUUUCAGCUUGAAGC